AGAGUUUGAUCAUGGCUCAGGGUGAACGCUGGCGGCGUGCUUAACACAUGCAAGUCGAGCGGGUACUCGCAAGAGUACCAGCGGCGCACGGGUGAGUAAUACGUAGGUAACCUACCCUUCAGAGGGGAAUAACUGGGGGAAACUCCAGCUAAUGCCCCAUACGAUCCAACGACAGAAGUCGUUGGAUGAAAGGAGCGUUUGCUUCGCUGAAGGAGGGGCCUGCGUCCCAUCAGGUAGUUGGUGAGGUAACGGCUCACCAAGCCUACGACGGGUAGCCGACCUGAGAGGGUGGCCGGCCACAAGGGCACUGAGACACGGGCCCUACUCCUACGGGAGGCAGCAGUGGGGAAUUUUGGACAAUGGGCGAAAGCCUGAUCCAGCAACGCCGCGUGGGGGACGAAGCCCUUCGGGGUGUAAACCCCUGUUGUGAGGGACGAAUAAGACCUGGAGGAAAUGUCAGGUCGAUGACGGUACCUCACGAGAAAGCCCCGGCUAACUACGUGCCAGCAGCCGCGGUAAUACGUAGGGGGCGAGCGUUACCCGGAUUCACUGGGCGUAAAGGGGGCGUAGGCGACUUGGUGUGUCGCGUGUGAAAUCCCAUGGCUCAACCACGGAAUUGCGCGCGAAACUACUGAGUUUGGGGCCGGGUAGAGGGAGAUGGAACUGCUGGUGUAGGGGUGAAAUCCGUAGAUAUCAGCAGGAACGCCGGUGGGGAAGCCGGUCUCCUGGGCCGUGCCCGACGCUGAGGCCCGGAAAGCUAGGGGAGCAAACCGGGAUUAGAUACCCGGGGUAGUCUAGGCCGUAAACGAUGCUCACUAGGGUGUGGGGGAGUCAUUCCUCCGUGCUGCAGUUAACGCGUUAAAUGAGUCGCCUGGGGAGUUACGCCCGCGGGGUGAAACUCAAAGGAAUUGACGG
rnacentral:rRNA from 1 species